UUUAAGGCGAAGUGUACGUAAUUAAACUACACAAUGGAUUUUUAAAAAAUUUUACAUGUAGAUUUUUCUUGUAAAAAUAAAUCGGAAAAUAAAAUAAAAAAAGGGGGUAACCGUUUUCGUUUUUGAGAUACGAGCUGUUGAAGUUAACAGCAUCAUACACCAAAAUUACAAAGGAUAUAUAGGGAAAAUCGUGAAAUUCGGCAGGAAUUGUUACAUUUCCAAGAUUUUCUAUUAUAUUAGACAAUCGAUUUUUUUUUAAAUUUAUGAGACGAUUCUAAAAUGUCUGAGGAAUCGAUUGGUGCAAAGAAAGUCCUAAGCAACCGUGCUACUUUUCAAGCUAUACCCUGUUAAAGUUGAAUCUUGAGUGUAAAAAAACAAAAAACAGCGACAACGUUAUUGACGUCGCCGCAACAGUUACGACGCUUCAUAUAGUUCUAUACUUGUAUGAAAUAUAUACCGUUUUGUUGGAGUUCGUGUUGCUCGGUCUUUAGUUCUUUAUGUUACGUUUUGUGUACUAUUGUAUUGUAUUUGUCUUUUAUAUUCGGGUGCGUGCGGAGAUCGUCAAGCUAGAAAACGGUUGACAUUUUCUUCAUUAUGAACUAGAACUAUUUUCGACCUUGGUGCCUUAUUUUUGUUAAAAUCUAAACACUGCGACGUGUUUUCAAAAUCUUUGUUCCCAUAAAACUUCAUUUCAUCAAGGUCUCUUCUCAGAAUAUCAGCCAUCUGUCUGGCACAGGAUAACAAUUCAAUAUUUAAGUAAAUUUAAGUUGUGUGGUAAUUCUUAGUACAUUUGGGUAAAUUAAUCUUAUCUUUGUGCCACAUAAGCAUCUCUAUAAUUCAACACAUCCCUG
rnacentral:lncRNA from 1 species